UACGGGGGGGGCUAGCGUUGCUCGGAAUCACUGGGCGUAAAGGGUGCGUAGGCGGGUCUUUAAGUCAGGGGUGAAAUCCUGGAGCUCAACUCCAGAACUGCCUUUGAUACUGAGGAUCUUGAGUCCGGGAGAGGUGAGUGGAACUGCGAGUGUAGAGGUGAAAUUCGUAGAUAUUCGCAAGAACACCAGUGGCGAAGGCGGCUCACUGGCCCGGUACUGACGCUGAGGCACGAAAGCGUGGGGAGCAAACAGG
rnacentral:rRNA from 1 species